rnacentral:rRNA from 1 species
UGGCGGCAGGCCUAAUACAUGCAAGUCGAACGCCCCGCAAGGGGAGUGGCGCACGGGUGAGUAACGCGUGGGAAUGUGCCCUAGGUGCGGAACAACGAAUUUGGAAACGAACGCUAAUACCGCAUAAUAUCUCCGGAUCAAAGAUUUAUCGCUAGGGAUCAGCCCGCGUUGGUUAGCUAGUUGGUGGGGUACGGCCACCAAGGCGACGAUCCAUAGCUGGUCUGAGAGGAUGAUCAGCCACACUGGGACUGAGACACGGCCCAGACUCCUACGGGAGGCAGCAGUAAGGAAUAUUGGACAAUGUAGGGGAAACCCUGAUCCAGCCAUGCCGCGUGAGUGAUGAAGGCCUUCGGGUUGUAAAGCUCUUUUAGGUGUGAAAAUGAUGAGGUAGCACCAGAAAAAGCUCCGGCUAACUUCGUGCCAGAGCCGCGGUAAUACGAAGGGAGCAGCGUUGUUCGGAAUCACUGGGCGUAAAGCGCUUGCGUAGGCGGUUUUGUAAGACAGAACCGUGAAAUCCUGGAGCUUAACUC